UACGAAGGGGGCUAGCGUUGUUCGGAAUCACUGGGCGUAAAGGGCGCGUAGGCGGCCUGGCAAGUCGGGGGUGAAAGCCUGUGGCUCAACCACAGAAUGGCCUUCGAUACUGCUGGGCUUGAGACCGGAAGAGGUCAGUGGAACUGCGAGUGUAGAGGUGAAAUUCGUAGAUAUCCGCAAGAACACCAGUGGCGAAGGCGGCUGACUGGUCCGGUUCUGACGCUGAGGCGCGAAAGCGUGGGGAGCAAACAGG
rnacentral:rRNA from 1 species